ensembl:lncRNA
CCCUCGGAGGGAGGAAAGUGCCUCACUAGGCUGAGAUGCCCAAGGGACCUCCCAGGGAAGGAAAGCAGGAGACACAGGGACAGUGGCUUCCAGCCCUGUCAACACCCUUGUGCCCAACCAGCAAAUACCCACUGGGUGUGUGGGCACACUGCGGCCUUUAAAGAGAAGAGAAACACAUGAGGCUCACAGCAGGAGGCCCUGCCUAGGUUCCAGGGGACAUGGAGCAGAGUGGCUGUGUAGAGCUGGGGAGCAUCCCAAGCCUGUGCCAAGGUUCCAAGGACAAAAAGGGACCUCCAGCACUUGCCUGUUUGGGCAGCGUGAGCACAGAGAGCAGGAGCUUGCCCUCAGAGGCUUCAGGGGGUCGCUUGCACCCACUGGUAAGGUCAGCAUCAUGUUCGACCAAAGGGAGGAAGGUGGCUGUGACCAGAGCAUCAGGGGGUCCUAAUGCAGCUGGGGAGUCAGGCUUGAGUGUGUGCUGUGCAUGUUCUCUGCCUCUCUUCCUUGGGGGUAGGCGAGUCUCCAGAGCCUGGAGGACAAGUUAGCCUUGUGAAGGAUGGCAGAGGACCUGGCCCAGGGGUCCCCAAAAUGGAGCACCAACCCUCCAUGCAGGCCAAGACACUGGUGAAUAUGCUGCAAAAAAUAUGCUGAAACUUCUAUGCAUACCACAGGGUGUGAGAAGAAAAUAUUAGAACUUCUAGUUUGUACACAUGUUACUCCACAACAAGAAAGAAAUCAACUUGAUUAAUGCAUACUGUAAAGACAGCACCGCCCUCCGGAGGCCCUCUGGAAGCCCUAGUGCUGGGACAGCCGCGUCCUCUCGCAGCAAGGGGAGCCUUGAAGCAUAGAGGGGCCCACACAGGUCUAUUCUGUUUCAGUGAAUUUCCUGGUUAAGUGGAUUUGUGGAUUAUAGUCUCUGGUUUUAAUUAAACUAACCCUAACAAAAUGAGCAAGUGGCUUAAGAAGUCUCAUGCGAAGGAAAUGUGUUUUGAAGAUAAUGGAAGCAAGAGCUUAGAACAAGAAAUGGUAGGCCGGGCGCGGUGGCUCAAGCCUGUAAUCCCAGCACUUUGGGAGGCCGAGACGGGCGGAUCACGAGGUCAGGAGAUCGAGACCAUCCUGGCUAACACGGUGAAACCCUGUCUCUACUAAAAAAAAUACAAAAAACUAGCCGGGCGUGGUGGCGGCGCCUGUAGUCCCAGCUACUCGGGAGGCUGAGGCAGGAGAAUGGCGGGAACCCGGGAGGUGGAGCUUGCAGUGAGCUGAGAUCCGGCCACCGCACUCCAGCCUGGGCGGCAGAGCAAGACUCCGUCUCAAAAAAAAAAAAAAAAAAAAAAAAAAAAAAAAAAAAAAGAACAAGAAAUGGUAACUCGGCACUUUUCUUCACUCCUGGAACGAGCCACUCAUGGGGCACAGUACUAGGUAAAUACAGCGUCUGUGGAAUCGGCCCUGAUGAGGAGUCGGACACAGAAAUUACAGCUCACCCAGAAGCCUGCUUGAGAUGUGGUUUACAUCCACGGCCAUGAACACAGGUCCCACCUGGAAGAUGCCCCGUGGGGAGUAACAGGAGAAAAAGCAAGUGGCAGGACACAGUGUGCUUUAUAUCCCAUUUAUGAGAAAAACAAAAUCGAGUUAUGAUAUGUGUUAACACAUGCAUGGGACCUGGAGGCACAUGCGUUACGCCAGCUUCUCCUUGAAGGGAGGCUGGCACUGUCACCAUUGUGCGUCUCUGCUGAUUUGAGUUAUUACAAUGAUUAUGCAUACAGUUACGGUGAGAGACACAAUAGGAAUUUUUAAGCAACUAGGGUUUUUAAACCUUUUAUUUUGAAAUAAUUUUAGAUUUACUGAAGAACUGAAAGGUGGUGCAGAGAAUUCCUGUCCUGUAUGUUAACACAUCACGUAACCGGGGUACAACUGUCAGAACUAAGGAAUAACUGUUGCUAUGCCACCGUGAACUAGAGUUCAGAUGUCUCCAGCAUUUCCACUGAUGAUCUUUUACUGUUUCAGGAAAUAAUCCAGGAUCUAUUUCGUGUGUGGUCAUCUCGUCUCCUCGGUCCCCUCCAGCCUUUCCUCAUCUUUUGUGACCUGGUCACUCUGGAAGGGCACUGUCCAGUUAGUCCACAGGAUGGGCCUUCCCUGGGGCUUUUCUGAUGCUUCCUUGUGAUGGCACUGGCAUCCUGCGGAGCAGGACCACAGAGAGGAGGUGCCCCUCAUCACACCACAUGGGGGUUCAUGCACCAGCACCACUGCUUUCCAGGGCCCUUCACCUCCAUCACCGGUGGAGGUGGCAUCUGCCAGGAUUCUCCACUGUCCGUCGAUUUUGUCUGGCGUUUGAGCAGGGCAAGGCUUCACAGGGCGGGGAUCAGGAGACGGGGAGAGAGGCAGCCAGGCCAGGUCACAGGCGACCUUGACCGUGGCAUGUGAAGAGUGCUGGGCAGAUGCAGUGAGGUCAGCUGUGAAGUUCUAAAGUCUCGGUGGUGUCUUUGGGAGAGAGGGUUGCCGGGGCAAGAAAGGAAGCUGGGGUCCAGCCAGGUCAGAGUAGUGUUGUCAGGUGAUGGGGGAGGAAGACAAUUCAAGGGCAAGGGAGAAGGUGAGACACAGAGGGAUUGGCAUCAGACACCCCACACAGUGCUUCUCUCACUUGGAGAAGCAGAAAGUCGAGGCUUAGAAAGUGCACGGCCCUACCUCUUCUGAGGUGCCCCUGCGGGCUGUCUACAGACCAGGCAGUACAAGCCUGAUAGCAGCUACAUAAAGAAAAGCAGGAGCCAGUUUGUGCACAGUGGCCUCAAGUGUGUGCUGGGCAUGUUCUCUGCCUCAUCAUCCCUGUGUGACAGAUGAAGGUACGGGGGGCCCAGGAGGGGAGGACACUGGCCCAGGUGGCAGUCAGUUGGGGCGGAGGGACCUUGAGCCCGAGUCUUUUUCCCAGAUCCUGCAGGCCUGGUGCUGAGGCAGACAAACUGCCUCCUCUGUCCUGGGCCUCCAACCCCUCCAGCCCCCUGCCCACUUAAACGUAGGGGAGCCUUAGCUACUCAGGAGGCUGAAGCACAAGAAUCACUUGAACCCGGGAGGCGGAGGUUGCAGUGAGCCGAGAUCGCGCCACUGCACUCCAGCCUGGGCGACGGAGUGAGACUUUGUCUCAAAAAAAAAAAAAGAAUAGGGAAGUCUUUUGGCCCAGGUGGGAGUGGGGUGAACAGGAGGGGAGCUCUGUUCUAGGUGCCUGGGUGACAAACCACUCCAAGCCUAGAGGCCUAAAACAGCAGCCGUUUUCUCCUGCUCUCCAAGUCUGUGGGUCAGGAAUUCAGCCAGAGUGCAUCAGGGUGCUUCCCCUCUGCUCCGCAUGUCCCAGAAAGCUGGGGAGACUGAAGGCUGGGUGUAACCCUGGUGACUCAGGCUACUGGGGGCUGGAGGGACCUAGAAGCUUCCUCACACCAAGCCUAGCUCCGGGGCUUGAGUGAAAGCUGACAUAGCCUCUCUGGGUGGCUCGCCCCUCCUCACAGCAUGGCAGGCUGGGCUCUGGAGAAGCAUCCUGAGGACCAGUGUUCCUAGGGACCUCAUUCUUCUGACCUCAUUCCUACAAUGUUUUGCCAAUGCAAAAUAAAUCACCAAGGCCAGGUCAGGUUCAAGGCUAGGGGCAUGUGGGCGGGGAAGUUAGAGGCCACCCUUUGGCAGGGAUAAGACAAGGUCAAUGCUGAGGUCUGUUUGUCCCCAAAGCUCAUGUUGAAAUGGGAUCUCCAGUGUGGUUGUGGUGGGAGGUGGGGCCUAGUGGGGGGUAUUCAUUUCCCUCAUAAGUGGUUGGUGCUGUUCUAGGUCGUGAGCAAGUUCUCACUCUGAUGAGGCUGGAUGAAUUCUAAUGGGAAUAAGUUAGUUCUCUCGAGAGUGGGUUGUUAUAAAGCCAGACACCUCUCAGUUUAUCUCCCUUCACACUUGCCCACUUUCCCUUUGACCCUCGCCAUGUUAUGAAGCAGCAUGAAAGCCCUCAACAGAAGCCAGGGCCAUGCCCUCGAACUUCCUAGUCUGCACAAUGGCCAGCUAAA